rnacentral:rRNA from 1 species
UACGUAGGUGGCAAGCGUUGUCCGGAUUUACUGGGCGUAAAGAGCGCGCAGGCGGUCGUGCAAGUCGCGUGUGAAAGCCCCCGGCUCAACUGGGGAGGGUCACGCGAUACUGCUCGACUCGAAGGCAGGAGAGGGAAGUGGAAUUCCCGGUGUAGUGGUGAAAUGCGUAGAUAUCGGGAGGAACACCAGUGGCGAAGGCGACUUCCUGGUCUGUUCUUGACGCUGAGGCGCGGAAGCUAGGGUAGCAAACGGG